GAUGAACGCUGGCGGCGUGCCUAAUACAUGCAAGUCGAGCGAACGGACGAGAAGCUUGCUUCUUUGAUGUUAGCGGCGGGCGGGUGAGUAACACGUGGAUACCCUCCUUAUAUGUCUGGGAUAACUUCGGGAAACCGUAGAUAAUACGGGAUAAUAUUUUGAACCGCAUGGUUCAAUAGUGAAAGACGGUCUUGCUGUCUCUUAUAGAUGGAUCCGGGCUGCAUUAGCUAGUUGGUACGGUAACGGCUUACCAAGGCGACGAUGCAUAGCCGACCUGAGAGGGGGUAGGCCGACUCAGAAACUGAGCCGCGGCACAGGGACUGAGGGAAGGCAGCGGGAGGGAAUCUACGGAGAAGGGGGAAAGCCUGACGGAGCAGCGGCAGGUUGGUGAUGAAGCGCCGCGGGUCGUAAAACUCUGUUUUAGGUAAGAACAGAUGUGGAAUGAACUGUGCACAGCUUGACGGUACCGAAUCAGAAAGCCACGGCUAACUACGUG
rnacentral:rRNA from 1 species